GAUGAACGCUGGCGGCGUGCUUAACACAUGCAAGUCGAACGAAGCACUUUAGACAGAUUUCUUCGGAUUGAAGACUUUAGUGACUGAGUGGCGGACGGGUGAGUAACGCGUGGGUAACCUGCCUCAUAGAGGGGGACAACAGUUGGAAACGACUGCUAAUACCGCAUAGUAAAGAGAAAUCGCAUGAUUUUUCUUUGAAAGAUUUAUCACUAUGAGAUGGACCCGCGUCUGAUUAGCUAGUUGGUGAGGUAACGGCCCACCAAGGCGACGAUCAGUAGCCGGCUUGAGAGAGCGAUCGGCCACAUUGGGACUGAGACACGGCCCAAACUCCUACGGGAGGCAGCAGUGGGGAAUAUUGCACAAUGGGGGAAACCCUGAUGCAGCGACGCCGCGUGAGUGAAGAAGUAUUUCGGUAUGUAAAGCUCUAUCAGCAGGGAAGAUAAUGACGGUACCUGACUAAGAAGCCCCGGCUAACUACGUG
rnacentral:rRNA from 1 species